rnacentral:rRNA from 1 species
UACGUAGGGAGCAAGCGUUGUCCGGAAUCAUUGGGUCGGUAAAGCGCGCGUAGGUGGUCCCGUAAGUCCGCUGUGAAAAGUCAAAGGGCUCAACCUUUGAAAGCCGGUGGAUACUGUAGGGACUAGAGUACGGAAGAGGCGAGUGGAAUUCCUGGUGUAGCGGUGGAAUGCGCAGAUAUCAAGGAGGAACACCAAUAGCGAAGGCAGCUCGCUGGGACGUUACUGACACUGAGGCGCGAAAGCCAGGGGAGCAAACGGG